rnacentral:rRNA from 1 species
UCCGUAGGCGGGCAAUUAAGUCAGAGGUGAAAUCCCACAGCUCAACUGUGGAACUGCCUUUGAUACUGGUUGUCUUGAGUUACAGUGAAGUAGAUAGAAUAUGUAGUGUAGCGGUGAAAUGCAUAGAUAUUACAUAGAAUACCGAUUGCGAAGGCAGUCUACUAACUGUAUACUGACGCUAAUGGACGAAAGCGUGGGGAGCGAACAGGAUUAGAUACCCUGGUAGUCC